GGGGUGCAUAGCUUAAUGGGUAAAGCGGCACACUUUUAAUGUGAGGAUUUCGGGUUCAAUUCCUGAUGCACCUAA
rnacentral:tRNA from 1 species